rnacentral:rRNA from 1 species
CCCUUAAAGUGAACGCUGGCGGAAUGCUUUACACAUGCAAGUCGAACGGCAGCACGGGGGCAACCCUGGUGGCGAGUGGCCAACGGGUGAGUAAUACAUCGGAACGUGCCCAGUCGUGGGGGAUAACGUAGCGAAAGUUACGCUAAUACCGCAUACGAUCUACAGAUGAAAGCGGGGGAUCGCAAGACCUCGCGCGAUUGGAGCGGCCGAUGUCAGAUUAGGUUGUUGGUGGGGUAAAGGCCUACCAAGCCGACGAUCUGUAGCUGGUCUGAGAGGACGACCAGCCACACUGGGACUGAGACACGGCCCAGACUCCUACUGUAGGCAGCAGUGGGGAAUUUUGGACAAUGGGCGCAAGCCUGAUCCAGCCAUUCCGCGUGCAGGACGAAGGCCUUCGGGUUGUAAACUGCUUUUGUACGGAACGAAAAAGCCUCGGUUAAUACCCGGGGUCCAUGACGGUACCCGUAAGAAUAAGCACCGGCUAACUACGUGG